rnacentral:rRNA from 1 species
GGACUACUCGGGUAUCUAAUCCCGUUCGCUCCCCAUGCUGUCGUGUCUGAGCGUCAGGGGGGUGCCAGGGCACCGCCUUCGCCUCUGGGGUUCCUCCGGAUCUCUACGCAUUUCACCACUACACCCGGAAUUCCAUGCCCCUCUCACCCCCUCCAGUCGUCCAGUCUGGCAUAACCCCACCCAGUUGAGCUGGGUGAUUUCAUACACCACUUAAACGACCGCCUGCACACGCUUUACACCCAGUAAAUCCGGAUAACGCUCGCCACCUACGUUUUACCGCGGCUGCUGGCAC